rnacentral:lncRNA from 1 species
UGUCUCGGCUCCUCUAAUGUAAUGGCUAGACGGCUCGCAAAAUGGCUCCCUCAAUAGGCUCAGCUGAAGAAGGAACCCCGGGUUUUCAAGUCUUCUACACGGGUUCCGGGUUGGGCUAACAAAAAAAGGUGCAGAUUUUGGGCUAUUCAAAACACCACGUUUCAGCUUUGUAUAAAACUUCAAAAAAUUUAUUUGCGUUUGAACUUUUCCGUUCACCACUCUAGCUGACCGAAUUUUCUCUCACCCUCUCUCUAACCAAGAUGAAUCCCGGCCCAGAUUGUCAAGCUUUCCCAGAUUCCGGGACCGCUCUUCUCUGUCAGCCGUCGUCAAUCGCCGAUCACCGCCGGCCACCAGUGUUAAACUUGUACCAAAAUUCUCAUCGCGAUCCGCUCUUUCCAAUUUCCUAGCUAGAUUUCUCUGAAAACAACUAAAACUCUUUGUACCCUUCCUUAUGGUGGACUACGAUCUCCAAAACCCUAUCCACCGACGUCUGCUACCGCUAAACCGCCAUUAGUGGUGACUCAAUGGCCUUCGAAAAUCCUUAAACCCACCACCUAAACUAUUUCUCUUUCCCUCCCUACCUAAAAACAAGAGUCUCGAAAUCAGCCCACACAACCCCAAAAUACCUCAUUCCCAAAAGGCUUUUUAUUGUGAUUUAUGUUUGUGUUGUUUUGUGUUAUUGUUGUUGAUUGAGGGCUGUUGAUUUUUUAUGGUUCUCUUUGAAAGAGAAUAUAGUUUGGGUCAUUGGUCUUGGAUUUUUUCUGUUGUUUUCAUUGAAUUUUCUGCAAGUGUUCCUUUUUGAUGGUUGCUGUUUGUUUAUAAUCCAUUAGUCCAAUCCUACACAGAAAUCUUAAAUCAACAUAUUCAUAAGGAUUUCGGUUUGAAUAAAUUCAAUCCCCAAAACAAUUUUAUCUCCAAUCAUCAUCCAUUUCAACUUUUGUUUUUUUUUUUAAUUUUUGGUUUUUUUUUUUUUUUCAAAAAUAAAUUAUAAACUAAAAAAAUAAAUAAAUUAAAAAAUCAAAUAUUUGAUAGAGACUUAAGACCCAAACUAGUCCCAAAUCAAUUCAAAGCCUAAAUUGCAAAUUCAAAUUUAAAUAAACUAAUCUAAAACUCAUAUACCGUAAGAUUUUUUAUGCAAAAAUAUCUAUUAAUAAUUUUUUUUUUGAAAACAUUAUUUUUAAAUUUAUCAAAUUUUACUAUAUGGAUUUAUUUUUAUUUCUCAAAAAUUAUUAAAAUCACAAAAUUUUUCAUUAUAUUAAUAAUGUUUUAUAGUUUAUUUUUUAAAAAUUAUUUUUAAAAAAAAUUAUUAAACGUUUUAAUGUGUUGAUAAGAUUUUAUUUUAAUAUUUUAAAAAUUAACUCUCCUAUAUUUUGAUGAAAUUUUUAACAAUGUUUAUUUUUUUUUUUAUUUAAAAAAUUUAAAACAAUAAAUAUAUAAAAUAUAUAAAAAUACAAAAAAUAAAAAUAAUCUUACCAGUUCGGCUUAGUAAGUGGUGUGGCUCGGUGGCUCAACCCAGCUCGAACUGCUGGAUGCUAAAACGAGUCGGGAGUUGCGAGCACUCUAGUCGGAUUGGGCUAACGGAAGCACAUGGAUUCUCUUUUAAUAAAAGAGUGUGUUUUGGCUUCUAUAAAAGCCAAGUUUUUGCCUUACCAUUUAUUUCCCUUCUCUCUCUGAGCUAAUUUUUCUCUAACCUCAAUCUUCCCAAACUCAGAAACGAUGAACUAUAGCACUAGAUUUUGAAAAAUCUCAUCGACAACUUUAAAAUGUCGUUGAAAUUUCGUCGAAAAUACCAAAGACUUACUGAAAAACUCAAUGGAAUUUGGAGAAUUUCUGGAUUUUUUAUAAAAAAAUUUAGCAAAUCCUCCCCUCGACAGAUUUGAUCUCACAAACACUAUUAUCUACAAUUUGUCCUCAAAAUCACACUUAAAACCUUUCAAACCCGGAAAAACAAAUAAAAAAUACUCCAAAUCAGUACCCUCUUCUGGCCAAACUUUCACCCAUCUUUUUUUUAUAUUUUCACUCUCUUUUGUGUGAAUUCUCUCUGUGCAAUUGCUUUCCCCCUUAAUUGUUGCAACAACUUAGGAAUAUAUAAUAGUUGAAUCCUGAUUUAGAUAGUUAUCCAAAACAAAAAGGAGAUUGAGCUUCUAAAAAUUCAUCUAUCUUAAUCUCUAAAUUUUAUUUGAAAAAUUUUAUCAUCAAAGAAGUCCAUCUACUUUUGGAUUUUACCUAAAGAAUUGCGCAUAUCCAACAUAAUAAAAAACCCCAAUUCACUCUUGCACCAUCUUUAUCAAUGUGAGAUUUUUUUAGAAAUAGU